rnacentral:rRNA from 1 species
UGGGGAAUAUUGCACAAUGGGGGAAACCCUGAUGCAGCGACGCCGCGUGAGCGAAGAAGGCCUUCGGGUCGUAAAGCUCUUUUAUGCGGGAAGAUAAUGACGGUACCAUAGGAGGAAGCCCCGGCUAACUACGUGCCAGCAGCCGCGGUAAUACGUAGGGGGCGAGCGUUGUCCGGAAUUACUGGGCGUAAAGGGUUCGCAGGCGGCAUGGCAAGUCCGAUGUAAAAGGCGAAGGCUCAACCUUCGUAAGCAUCGGAAACUGUCAAGCUUGAGUGAAGGAGAGGAAAGUGGAAUUCCUAGUGGAGCGGUGGAAUGCGUAGAUAUUAGGAGGAAUACCGGUGGCGAAGGCGACGUGCUGGACUUCAACUGACGCUGAGGAACGAAAGCGUGGGUAGCAAACAGG